rnacentral:rRNA from 1 species
UACAGAGGUGGCAAGCGUUGUUCGGAAUUACUGGGCGUAAAGCGCGCGUAGGCGGCCCCGCAAGUCGGCCGUGAAAUCUCCGGGCUCAACUCGGAGGGGUCGGGCGAGACUGCGGGGCUCGAGGUGGGCAGAGGGCAGUGGAAUUCCGGGUGUAGUGGUGGAAUGCGUAGAGAUCCGGAGGAACACCAGUGGCGAAGGCGGCUGCCUGGGCCUGGCCUGACGCUGAGGCGCGAAAGCGUGGGGAGCGAUCCGG